GGGGAAUUUUGGACAAUGGGCGAAAGCCUGAUCCAGCAAUGCCGCGUGCAGGAUGAAGGCCUUCGGGUUGUAAACUGCUUUUGUACGGAACGAAAAGGCUCUGGCUAAUACCUGGGGCACAUGACGGUACCGUAAGAAUAAGCACCGGCUAACUACGUGCCAGCAGCCGCGGUAAUACGUAGGGUGCGAGCGUUAAUCGGAAUUACUGGGCGUAAAGCGUGCGCAGGCGGUUUUGUAAGACAGAGGUGAAAUCCCCGGGCUCAACCUGGGAACUGCAUCCAAAACUGGCGAGCUAGAGUAUGGCAGAGGGUGGUGGAAUUUCCUGUGUAGCGGUGAAAUGCGUAGAUAUAGGAAGGAACACCAGUGGCGAAGGCGACCACCUGGGCUAAUACUGACACUGAGGUGCGAAAGCGUGGGGAGCAAACA
rnacentral:rRNA from 1 species